AUUGAACGCUGGCGGCAGGCCUAACACAUGCAAGUCGAACGAGUGGCGGACGGGUGAGUAAUGUCUGGGAAACUGCCUUAUGGAGGGGGAUAACUACUGGAAACUGUAGCUAAUACCGCAUACCAUCGGAUGUGCCCAGGUGGGAUUAGCUAGUGGGUGGGGUAAAGGCUCACCUAGGCGACGAUCGCUAGCUGGUCUGAGAGGAUGACCAGCCACACUGGAACUGAGACACGGCCCAGACUCCUACGGGAGGCAGCAGUGGGGAAUAUUGCGCAAUGGGGGCAAGCCUGACGCAGCCAUGCCGCGUGAAUGAAGAAGGCCUUCGGGUUGUAAAGUUCUUUCGGCAGGGAGGCGUUACCCACAGAAGAAGCACCGGCUAACUCCGUGCCAGCAGCCGCGGUAAUAC
rnacentral:rRNA from 1 species